AUUUAUUUAGUAUAUUAAUAUACAUUUGAUUUUUAAUCAAAAAAAUUAAUUUAUUCAAAAUAAAUA
rnacentral:tRNA from 1 species